CUGUAGUCAGAGCUACAUGUGUUACAGGCAUCCUAAUGAGUGAUACAGUAGUUAAAGAUACUUCUUCAGUGUUUUCAUAAUUAAUCUGUUAAUGGCCAAAGAUAAAGCAUAACUAGCAAAAUCUUACUGUGGUCAGAUAUAAACAUGCUCCUGUUUGCUGGCAUAGAUGGAAUCUAUAAAGACCUAAAGAGUAGCAGACAUAACUCAGAGUGAGAAUGCAGAGGAGCACAUAUUUGCACUUUGGUGCAUGAAGACAAUGUGUUUUUCAUAAAUAAAUAUUGCACCUGACACUGCUUACUAUGCAAUAGGUGACCUCUAAGGUUAUUCUGCCCUUUUGGAGAAUUUUCCACAUGUGAAGCAUGAACUUCAGUCUUGAUAAAUAUCAAAACAAAACUACCAGAGAUUGUUUCACCCUUGAGUUGCAAUCAGGAGUCUGCGUGCUGGUGCCUGGGUGUGUGGUGUUCAUUAGAAGUGGUGCAGCCCCCUCUGACAUCUGUGCUUCUCUUACUGCCUGAACGGUGUUGGAUGCACAUUUUACACAGGAUCUUUGCAGCUUCUUCUAUUUAUAAGGAAUCUAGUUGCUUCACAAUGCAAACCAAGCACUGGUACUUGAAGAUGGGAAUAUUUUAAAACGACAGCCCUGGCUGCAGACAAGCAUACCAGUGUAUUGGCAAAAGGAAGAUCUUUUGUGGACCAGCAUGUCACUGUCUUGGAAGUUGUGCCCUAAAUCCUCCUUCCACCAAGGUUGGUUAAUUUGUUCUGUGGGAAGGUUGUAAACAAGUAGCUGGUGGGCUCCCCUGAGGUUCUAGAGUUAUUCAGCUUUAUAUAAUCUGUGAUGCAUGCAAAAAGGCAGAAGGGUGGCUGUAAGGGGUGGAGCUGGGUAUUUUCUAAAAAAUACUGAAUUAAAUUAUUGAAAUUUGAUAGGCUAGAAGGAAAAACAGGAUUAUCUAUUACAUUUUAAUUCUGUAGUUGAAUAUGUGCAAAGAUAGAUGGCUUGUUACUUCACCACAGUGUAUUUUGUAACCCUGUAAUACAGGCUUUUUUGGCAAAUUUGUGGUAGAGAUAGAGUGGAGGGAGCAGGUUAAUUGUCUUGUCAGUCCUUGCCUGCUGAAACUUGCAUCUUCAUUUCAUAUGUGUUAUUAAAAAAUAAAAUAAAAUAGAAAAAGCCUGACUUGCA
rnacentral:lncRNA from 1 species